GUGGCUUAGGCUCAACAUAGCCAGCCUCUGGUGCAUCUCCAAAUCUUCUUUCUCCAUGUUGUGGUCGUCGGCCUUGUGGCUUAUUCCUUUUUCCCAACUGAGCAAUCUUAUCAUUGAGCUCUUGUAUAGCUAUUAGUUGUUGGCUCAGUGUGGCCUCUAGGGUUUGGCCGUGUGCUUCUCCUACCAUUGCUCCCUGAAAUCAAUCUCAAAGAUCAAGUGAAGUAUGGGAAGUUUUGGUCAAGCAUAAGAGCAAUGAACAAUGCAAAACUAAUUUAAACUAAACCGAGAAAAAUGCAAGUAUAAACCGAAAUGAAGUAACUAUGCAAUAAAUAAUUUUUCUUUUGGUUUUCUGAUGCAAUCACGAAAUGGACCAACUAAUAUGGCAUGAAACAAUAACUAGUAUGAUUAGUUUUUUUUUUUUUUUUAAGGAUAUGCAAACAAAGGAAACAAAUUCAAAAUGACAAUUUUUAUGGGAUUUUUGAUUAUGGAAACAAAACAAAAAGGAAACUAACAAGAAUUUCGAAACUAAGUGCAAGUAAUAUGAAUCAAACACAUCUUUCUUUUUCUUUUUCGUGGUUUAUAAGA
rnacentral:lncRNA from 1 species